rnacentral:rRNA from 1 species
UAGGGAAUCUUCCACAAUGGGNGCAGCNGAUGGAGCAACGCCGCGUGAGUGAAGAAGGUCUUCGGAUCGUAAAACUCUGUUGUUAGAGAAGAACAUGCAGGAGAGUAACUGUUCUUGUAUUGACGGUAUCUAACCAGAAAGCCACGGCUAACUACGUGCCAG